UUUCACUACCAUGCAAGCAUGGCAGUUCACACGCAUGCAUCAUACAGUCUACCUUUCACCCUGAGUAAGAGGCCUUUAGUUGCCAGGAGAGGUAGAAGCUCCCUGAGCUUUGACCAGGCUAUUCUUAUUCUAGCCGGUACACUCUCAGAGCAACC